CUUCCACUUUCGCGGGGAUCAGCAUCCCUGGGGCCUCAUCCCCUUAUCUUCCUGGGCUGCUGCUCUGCAUCGAGGCACCGAGCCCUCUCCUCAGGGUCCUCACCCUCUACCUCCAGGCC
ensembl:misc_RNA